rfam:Clostridium sp. SY8519 DNA, complete genome.
GGGGAUGUAAAGGUUUCGACGGGGUCUCUGAAGCUGGAGAAGCGAGCCGCACGGGAUGCGUCAAAUUCCACCCUAAAUUUAAACGCUAAAGAAGAUAAUUUCGAAUUAGCAAUGGCUGCCUAAUCGCAGCUGCUUGUCUGCCGGCCUGCACCCAUACGGGCUGACCAGGCAUCAAACCAUGUGGGAAACGACUUAUACAAAGCUUUGCGUAUAAGGGCGUAACAUGAAGCUACUGAAGUCAGUAACCUGUCACCGGGUGCCUGAUGGAGGGAAUGUCAGAACAGUGACUACGCUCGUAGAAGAACAGCGGAUCAGAUUUCGGACACGGGUUCGACUCCCGUCAUCUCCAUGG